GGAGGACAUAGCUCAGUGGUAGAACAUCUUCUUCACAUGCAGAAGUCCCCAGGCUCAAUCUCUCAUGUCUCCA